rnacentral:rRNA from 1 species
GAUGAACGCUAGCUACAGGCUUAACACAUGCAAGUCGAGGGGCAUCAGGAAGAAAGCUUGCUUUCUUUGCUGGCGACCGGCGCACGGGUGAGUAACACGUAUCCAACCUGCCCUUUACUCGGGGAUAGCCUUUCGAAAGAAAGAUUAAUACCCGAUAGCAUAAUGAUUUCGCAUGGUUUCAUUAUUAAAGGAUUCCGGUAAAGGAUGGGGAUGCGUUCCAUUAGGUUGUUGGUGAGGUAACGGCUCACCAAGCCUUCGAUGGAUAGGGGUUCUGAGAGGAAGGUCCCCCACAUUGGAACUGAGACACGGUCCAAA